UAACAGAGGUGAGGCGCGAGGCGGUCGAAGCUGCGGAGCAAUCAUUAAUCGGAGGAGCCUUCGUUGGUCAAGCGGAGGAGCACUUGUGUUGCUGAGGACUGUAUGGGCGAGCGCACGCAUUCAAACAAACUCGUAUGGUUGUAUGUACGUUGUAAACGUUGGACCGUCACUGGCCAACAAACUUUAUACAACUUUCGACAACGGAUCUCUUGGUUCUCCCAUCGAUGAAGAACGCAGCGAAACGCGAUAGGUAAUGUGAAUUGCAGAAUUCCGUGAAUCAUCGAAUCUUUGAACGCACCUUGCGCUCCAUGGUAUUCCGUGGAGCAUGCCUGUUUGAGUGCCGCGAAUUCUCCCACCCCAAACGGUUGCCGAAAGGUACUGUGCGGCGGAGGGGUUGGAUGGGUGCUACUGCCUGUGGUGGGGAAACUACAACAGGCUCGCCCGAAAUGCAUUAGCGCCUCAGGACACAUUCGCUACUGCUCUACAAAAGGAAGAGCAGCGAAGCGUAUGGGGGGGAAAACCACCACCGGUUAUUCCAAACCUCGCCUGACUGUUUUUGCGCGCAUGGCAUGAUACGUCAUUUGCUGUGUUGCGUAGGUUGGUGCGUGGGACUGUGUGAGUGCCUCUAGAGCUUUGAGAAGUGUGUUUCGUGUGCUACGAACUGAAAAAGUACAUUCCUUUUUUUCAAUUCUGGUCUCAAAUCAGGUAGGAUCACCCGCUGAACUUAAGCAUAUCAAUAAGCGGAGGAACAACCGUAGGUGAAACCUGCGGAGCCCCCCCACAAAGAAGCGGAAGCUUCUGUGGACCAACUUUUGACUCUCCGACCGGGGG
rnacentral:rRNA from 1 species